GUGGACCUCCCUUAGCCAACGAUGACCUCGAAUCAAAUGUGACCACAUGAAAGCUCUACUUUCCCUUCAUCUUGGGACAACCAAAGGCUGCAAUAAUAACUUCCUGACUUCCUGCUUCUCCGUCAAGGCCCCUUCCUUGGGAAACUUUGGGGAGAGUUAUCACGAGGCCUGGAUAGUCACAGGAUCUACCUAGCGUGGGACAGUUGGGACAACCAUCUGCAAAUUCAAAGGAAGGAAGGGGAAGCAGAGUAAUAAACACAGAUUUCAUGAGGAAGAGGAGAAAAUGGGAAGCUGUUGGUAAAAAGGUACAGAUUUCUACAUCGUGAGAAACAAGUCCUCCAGGUGCAUCAGACAGCAUUGAGACUCGAGUGAACAAACAGCACGUGUGGAUGCUGAGGAGAGCUGCUUCUCAGUGCUCUUCCUGCAAGAACAGUGAGACUGUG